CAGAAGCGGGUGCUAAUACAUGCAAGUCGAGCGAACAGAUAAGGAGCUUGCUCCUUUGACGUUAGCGGCGGACGGGUGAGUAACACGUGGGUAACCUACCUAUAAGACUGGAAUAACUCCGGGAAACCGGGGCUAAUGCCGGAUAACAUUUAGAACCGCAUGGUUCUAAAGUGAAAGAUGGUUUUGCUAUCACUUAUAGAUGGACCCGCGCCGUAUUAGCUAGUUGGUAAGGUAAUGGCUUACCAAGGCAACGAUACGUAGCCGACCUGAGAGGGUGAUCGGCCACACUGGAACUGAGACACGGUCCAGACUCCUACGGGAGGCAGCAGUAGGGAAUCUUCCGCAAUGGGCGAAAGCCUGACGGAGCAACGCCGCGUGAGUGAUGAAGGGUUUCGGCUCGUAAAACUCUGUUAUUAGGGAAGAACAAACGUGUAAGUAACUGUGCACGUCUUGACGGUACCUAAUCAGAAAGCCACGGCUAACUACGUGCCAGCAGCCGCGGUAAUACGUAGGUGGCAAGCGUUAUCCGGAAUUAUUGGGCGUAAAGCGCGCGUAGGCGGUUUCUUAAGUCUGAUGUGAAAGCCCACGGCUCAACCGUGGAGGGUCAUUGGAAACUGGGAGACUUGAGUGCAGAAGAGGAAAGUGGAAUUCCAUGUGUAGCGGUGAAAUGCGCAGAGAUAUGGAGGAACACCAGUGGCGAAGGCGACUUUCUGGUCUGUAACUGACGCUGAUGUGCGAAAGCGUGGGGAUCAAACAGGAUUAGAUACCCUGGUAGUCCACGCCGUAAACGAUGAGUGCUAAGUGUUAGGGGGUUUCCGCCCCUUAGUGCUGCAGCUAACGCAUUAAGCACUCCGCCUGGGGAGUACGACCGCAAGGUUGAAACUCAAAGGAAUUGACGGGGACCCGCACAAGCGGUGGAGCAUGUGGUUUAAUUCGAAGCAACGCGAAGAACCUUACCAAAUCUUGACAUCCUUUGACACUCUAGAGAUAGAGUUUUCCCCUUCGGGGGACAAAGUGACAGGUGGUGCAUGGUUGUCGUCAGCUCGUGUCGUGAGAUGUUGGGUAAGUCCCGCAACGAGCGCAACCCUUAACUUAGUUGCCAGCAUUAAUUGGGCACUCUAGGUUGACUGCCGGGGACAAACCGGAGGAAGGGGGGAUGACGUCAAUCANAAUGCCCCUAUGAUUUGGCNAANCCGGGCUACAGGACAA
rnacentral:rRNA from 1 species